GCCUCUUUAGCUCAGUUGGUAGAGCACGGGCUUUGUACUCCCGGGGUCGUUGGUUCGAAUCCGACAAGAGGCU
rnacentral:tRNA from 1 species